rnacentral:rRNA from 11 species
CUGCUCUGUAUAAAUACCCUAAUGGUGCCAGAUCCUAUCUGAUCUUGGAAGUUAAGCAGGAUGAGUUCUGGUUAGCAUUUGAAUGGGAGCCACCAACUAAUACCAGGUGCUGUGAGGG